ACACAAAAAGCAAAUGCAAGGUCUGCAAUGAAAAUCGACCGAUACCCGGGGGUCGGGCUAGUGGUUUUCUGCAUGAAGGUCGCCCCGUUGGCCAGUAAAAAAAGAUAAUAUUAUUUAUACACAUGCAAUACAUGCAAAGCACACCUGAGUUCAGAUACCACUGAAAGUGAACAUCAGUGGAACUUUGAUGAUCUAGGCCACUCUAUUGUUGCAGCAACACCAGCAGGCGUUGGACAUUCAUAAAGUUGAAAGAACAAACCUAUGACUUGAACACACAAUUUGUGAUCUGAAUAUAGUUCACAAAUUUAAGGAAAGCAACUAUUAAAGACAUC